ACGGCUCAGUAACACGUGGAUAACCUACCCAAGAGUCUGGGAUAACCCCGGGAAACUGGGGAUAAUACCGGAUAGGCCAAGCUUGCUGGAAGGCUGUUUGGUUGAAACCUCCGGGGCUUUUGGAUGGGUCUGCGGCUGAUUAGGUUGUUGCCGGUGUAACGUACCGUCAAGCCUGUAAUCAGUACGGGUUGUGGGAGCAAGAGCCCGGAGAUGGAUUCUGAGACACGAAUCCAGGCCCUACGGGGCGCAGCAGGCGCGAAAACUCUACAAUGCAGGCAACUGCGAUAGGGGAACAUCGAGUGGCGUCCAUAUUGGAUGUCUGUCCACCCGCCUAAAAAGCGGGUGUUAGCAAGGGCCGGGCAAGACCGGUGCCAGCCGCCGCGGUAAUACCGGCGGCUCGAGUGGUGGCCGAUAUUAUUGAGUCUAAAGGGUCCGUAGCCGGCUUUGCAAGUCUCUCGGGAAAUCCAGCGGCUUAACCGUUGGUCGUCCGGGGGGUACUACAUUGCUUGGGACUGGGAGAGGUAGGAGGUACUCAGGGGGUAGGAGUGAAAUCCUGUAAUCCUUUGGGGACCACCGGUGGCGAAGGCGUCCUACCAGAACAGGUCCGACGGUGAGGGACGAAAGCUAGGGGCACGAACCGGAUUAGAUACCCGGGUAGUCCUAGCCGUAAACGAUGCUCGCUAGGUGUCACAACAGUCGUGAACUGUUGUGGUGCCGUAGGGAAGCCGUGAAGCGAGCCACUUGGGAAGUACGACCGCAAGGUUGAAACUUAAAGGAAUUGGCGGGGGAGCAC
rnacentral:rRNA from 1 species